rnacentral:tRNA from 1 species
GCUGACGUAGCUCAACUGGCAGAGCAGCCGCCUUGUAAGCGGCAGGUUGAGGGUUCGAAUCCCUCCGUCAGCUCCU